rnacentral:lncRNA from 1 species
UGUUUUUUUUUCUCUUCUAGGAAAUGCAUUAGCAUAGUUUUCCAGUUAAGAAGAUAUAUAAAAUCCAGUAGGGCUCACAAUGUAUUAUCGUUUCACCGCAUAUAUUAGAAGAAUAGACA